rnacentral:rRNA from 1 species
ACCUUCGGUGCCCGAGUUGUAAUUUGGAGAGGGCAACUUUGGGGCCGUUCCUUGUCUAUGUUCCUUGGAACAGGACGUCAUAGAGGGUGAGAAUCCCGUGUGGCGAGGAGUGCGGUUCUUUGUAAAGUGCCUUCGAAGAGUCGAGUUGUUUGGGAAUGCAGCUCUAAGUGGGUGGUAAAUUCCAUCUAAAGCUAAAUAUUGGCGAGAGACCGAUAGCGAACAAGUACAGUGAUGGAAAGAUGAAAAGAACUUUGAAAAGAGAGUGAAAAAGUACGUGAAAUUGUUGAAAGGGAAGGGCAUUUGAUCAGACAUGGUGUUUUGUGCCCUCUGCUCCUUGUGGGUAGGGGAAUCUCGCAUUUCACUGGGCCAGCAUCAGUUUUGGUGGCAGGAUAAAUGCAUAGGAAUGUAGCUUGCCUCGGUAAGUAUUAUAGCCUGUGGGAAUACUGCCAGCUGGGACUGAGGACUGCGACGUAAGU